rnacentral:tRNA from 1 species
CAUUAGAUGGCUGAAAAUAAGUACUGGUCUCUUAAACCAUAAAAUAGUAGAGUAAUGAUUACUUCUAAUGA